CGCGUAGGCGGGUAUUCAAGUCUGUGGUGAAAUCCGGCAGCUCAACUGUCGAAUUGCCGUGGAUACUGGGUAUCUCGAGGGAGGUAGGGGUGCGCGGAACUGAUGGUGGAGCGGUGAAAUGCGUUGAUAUCAUCAGGAACUCCGGUGGCGAAGGCGGCACACUGGACCUCUUCUGACGCUGAGGCGCGAAAGCCAGGGGGAGCAAACG
rnacentral:rRNA from 1 species